rnacentral:rRNA from 1 species
GACGAACGCUGGCGGCGUGCCUAAUACAUGCAAGUAGAACGCUGAAGAGAGGAGCUUGCUCUUCUUGGAAGAGUUGCGAACGGGUGAGUAACGCGUAGGUAACCUGCCUUGUAGCGGGGGAUAACUAUUGGAAACGAUAGCUAAUACCGCAUAACAAUGGGUGACCCAUGUCAUUCAUUUGAAAGGGGCAACUGCUCCACUACAAGAUGGACCUGCGUUGUAUUAGCUAGUAGGUGAGGUAACGGCUCACCUAGGCGACGAUACAUAGCCGACCUGAGAGGGUGAUCGGCCACACUGGGACUGAGACACGGCCCAGACUCCUACGGGAGGCAGCAGUAGGGAAUCUUCGGCAAUGGGGGCAACCCUGACCGAGCAACGCCGCGUGAGUGAAGAAGGUUUUCGGAUCGUAAAGCUCUGUUGUAAGUCAAGAACGAGUGUGAGAGUGGAAAGUUCACACUGUGACGGUAGCUUACCAGAAAGGGACGGCUAACUACGUGCCAGCAGCCGCGGUAAUACGUAGGUCCCGAGCGUUGUCCGGAUUUAUUGGGCGUAAAGCGAGCGCAGGCGGUUUGAUAAGUCUGAAGUUAAAGGCUGUGGCUCAACCAUAGUUCGCUUUGGAAACUGUCAAACUUGAGUGCAGAAGGGGAGAGUGGAAUUCCAUGUGUAGCGGUGAAAUGCGUAGAUAUAUGGAGGAACACCGGUGGCGAAGCGGCUCUCUGGUCUGUAACUGACGCUGAGGCUCGAAGCGUGGGGAGCGAACAGG